rnacentral:rRNA from 1 species
GAUGAACGCUGGCGGCGUGCCUAAUACAUGCAAGUCGAGCGAACGGACGAGAAGCUUGCUUCUCUGAUAUUAGCGGCGGACGGGUGAGUAACACGUGUAUAACCUACCUAUAAGACUUGGAUCACUUCGGGAAACCGGAGCUAAUACCGGAUAAUAUUUUGAACCGCAUGGUUCAAAAGUGAAAGACGGUCUUGCUGUCACUUAUAGAUGGAUCCGCGCUGCAUUAGCUAGUUGGUAAGGUAACGGCUUACCAAGGCAACGAUGCAUAGCCGACCUGAGAGCGUGAUCGGCCACACUGGAAGUGAGACACGGUCCAGACACCUACGGGAGGCAGCAGUAGGGAAUCUUCCGCAAUGGGCGAAAGCCUGACGGAGCAACGCCGCGUGAGUGAUGAAGGUCUUCGGAUCGUAAAACUCUGUUAUUAGGGAAGAACAUAUGUGUAAGUAACUGGGCACAUCUUGACGGUACCUAAUCAGAAAGCCACGGCUAACUACGUG